GGGCGCUUAGCGCAGGGGUAGCGCGUCUGCUUUGCAUGGUCAACAUGCAGAAGGUCGUGGGUUCAAAUCCCACAGUGUCCA
rnacentral:tRNA from 1 species